rnacentral:rRNA from 1 species
AUUGAACGCUGGCGGCAGGCUUAACACAUGCAAGUCGAGCGGGGUGAUGGUGCUUGCACUAUCACUUAGCGGCGGACGGGUGAGUAAUGCUUAGGAAUCUGCCUAUUAGUGGGGGACAACAUCUCGAAAGGGAUGCUAAUACCGCAUACGUCCUACGGGAGAAAGCAGGGGAUCACUUGUGACCUUGCGCUAAUAGAUGAGCCUAAGUCGGAUUAGCUAGUUGGUGGGGUAAAGGCCUACCAAGGCGACGAUCUGUAGCGGGUCUGAGAGGAUGAUCCGCCACCCGGGGACGGCGACACGGCCCAGACCCCUGCGGGAGGCAGCAGUGGGGAAUAUUGGACAAUGGGGGGAACCCUGAUCCAGCCAUGCCGCGUGUGUGAAGAAGGCCUUAUGGUUGUAAAGUACUUUAAGCGAGGAGGAGGCUCUUUUGGUUAAUACCCAAGAUGAGUGGACGUUACUCGCAGAAUAAGCACCGGCUAACUCUGUGCCAGCAGCCGCCGCGG